rnacentral:rRNA from 1 species
CCAGACUCCUACGGGAGGCAGCAGUGAGGAAUAUUGGUCAAUGGGCGGGAGCCUGAACCAGCCGAGUCGCGUGAGGGAAGACGGUCCUACGGAUUGUAAACCUCUUUUGCCGGGGAGCAACGGGGUCCUUGCGAGGGCCCAAUGAGAGUACCCGGAGAAAAAGCAUCGGCUAACUCCGUGCCAGCAGCCGCGGUAAUACGGAGGAUGCGAGCGUUAUCCGGAUUUAUUGGGUUUAAAGGGUGCGUAGGCGGGCUGUUAAGUCAGCGGUAAAAUGUCGGGGCUCAACCCCGGCCUGCCGUUGAAACUGGCAGACUUGAGUUGGAGAGAAGUAUGCGGAAUGCGCGGUGUAGCGGUGAAAUGCAUAGAUAUCACGCAGAACUCCGAUUGCGAAGGCAGCAUACCGGCGCCCGACUGACGCUGAGGCACGAAAGCGUGGGUAUCGAACAGGAUUAGAUACCCUUGUAA